rnacentral:tRNA from 1 species
GUUUUCGUGGCCGAGUGGUUAAGGCGAUGGUCAAGUAUUUUUUUGGGAUCUUCCCGCGCAGGUUCUAAUCCUGCCGACAUCG